UACAUGGGGUGCAAACGUUGCUCGGAAUUAUUGGGCGUAAAGCGCACGUAGGUGGUCUGUUAUGUCAGAUGUGAAAGCCCUCGGCUUAACUGAGGAAGUGCACCUGAAACUGGCAGGCUUGAGUACGAAAGAGGGUCGCGGAAUUCCCGGUGUAGAGGUGAAAUUCGUAGAUAUCGGGAGGAACACCGGUGGCGAAGGCGGCGACCUGGUUCGAUACUGACACUGAGGUGCGAAAGCGUGGGGAGCGAACAGG
rnacentral:rRNA from 1 species